rnacentral:misc_RNA from 1 species
UGAGGCAACUAUUAGAAGCAUGGCAUCAUCCAAUGUGUAAAUUUGCUGGCUAUUCAAGCUCGAUUGCAGUGGAUUCCCUCAGCAUUCCCAUUUAAGAAAAAUAUGCGAAAUCCAUUCUUUUGGUUUGUUUAACUUACUUGAUCUUAAAUGAAAGUGUUUGUGCUAAUGAACUGCUCACAGAACCAUACAUUUUGAAAGCAUUAAGCAUUAUGUAUGCCUUUUGCUACGCUGAAAGUAUGCAACCAAGCAUAGAAAGACACAGAAUCAG